rnacentral:rRNA from 1 species
CACGGGGGGAGCAAGCGUUGUUCGGAAUCACUGGGCGUAAAGGGCGUGUAGGCGGUCAAGUAAGUGGAAUGUGAAAGCCCCCGGCUUACCCGGGGAUCUGCAUCCCAAACUGCUUGGCUUGAGUACGGGAGAGGAUAGGGGAAUUCCUGGUGUAGCGGUGAAAUGCGUAGAUAUCAGGAGGAACACCGGCGGCGAAGGCGCCUAUCUGGCCCGAUACUGACGCUGAGGCGCGAAAGCAUGGGGAGCGAACAGG